rnacentral:lncRNA from 1 species
GCGGCGGUGAGCGGCGGGCUAGAAGGCGGCUGCGGCUGCCCUGGCUCUGCUCUUGACCGCCGCCAGCCCCGGGAACUUUCCGACGCCGCCGGGAGACGGGGGACGGGCAGCCCGGGCUGGGACGCGGCCGGACCGCUGGAGCCGUGCGGGCUGGGGAAGAAGGUUUAUGGGAUGCAGGAUAAUGGAGCAUGCUCUAUCUGGGACAUUGCUAGUCUUAUGACAGAGGGAGAAGACAGCGAUGAGUUUUCGAAGAACUCCAGGAAGUGGCUGCAGAGCAAAGUAGGAUCCUGAUACUGGUUUUCUUCAGUGUCGAAAUUGGUAUGGAGACGUGGAUGGAGAUUUGAGUCUUAGGAAUUUGGGAAGAGCUCAAGUGAUUCAGAAUGAAAAGACCUUGGCACAGACCUGUUAAGGAAGCUCCAUAUAAGGUGAAGAAAACAACAUGCUCAGCCAUGUCCUUGCCUUCUGCACACGGUAGUGCAUUCACUGCCUGAGAAUUCAAGGCUAAAACAAAAAGAGGAGCUUUUGUUCCAACAGAUAAGUACUUACCUUUUUCAAAAAAUGCAUAAGCUGUCCUGGGUGUUUAGCAGUUAUUCGCACAGCUUUCCAAAGACUCACAGCAUUUAAAAGCUAACUCUACAGAGAUUCAACAGCUUCUUCCAGAUCCCACCACAGUGGAAAAGAACUCCGGUGUCCUGGCUCCCUGUCCAGCUCUUCUCUCUCCCCUUCCAGCUGCCAGUUCAGCUUUAAGAAGUUCAUUCUCCACAUUCAGAUGCAGGCAAAUGCGUUUGACUUGAGCAUAUUGAUUUCAGGCAGGUGAGAGUGGAUGUAGCGAUUCAGCUUGACAAAUAUUUAGAUCAGUUAAGUGUCCUUUAUAAAGAAGCACUUGAACUCAGUGUUUCCUUUACCCGACCAUUUCACUCCACAAGCUACCUCCCCAGCAUAAAAUAUUCAAAUUAUUUCUAAAUUUCAUCUACUGAAAAAAUACUUCUAGGCCCUAUAGCUACAUGAUAUCUCCACUGGGAGCCCUGUCCUUUCCAUGCCCUGGGAAAACCCGAUCUAAAGCAGAUUUAAAUGACUCAGCAGUAGGACUCAGGUCUCUGUCUCUGCCUGCUUACUUGGGGAGUGCUCCAGCCUUAGGGGCUCUCUUGCACUCCAACAUAGGAAAGAAAUUAUCGAUGGCUCCAUUCCCCAGCAUUUGAGACUUUUCUUCCCACAGACACAUUCCUGAGGACACCAGUCAUGGGUAAAGAACUCCACUGGGGUCAGCGUUGGAUCCCACUAGGCAGUUUAGGACUUGUAAGUAGAGUAGUGUGGACUUGGUGUUCCCAGAGCCUCUCACUCAUGAUUCAUGGCUCUCCACCCCAAGCAUCGGAACUUGCCCAACUUCACCACAGAAGGAAACAGACUGUAAGCUUGGAGGGCCAGGGAGGAAACCGGAGGCAUGUGUGGGAGGAUUAGAAACAUGAAAAGAUAUUUACAGUAAGGUUCGCUUGUCAUCCUCUUGAACUGGGGGUGCAUAGAGUACAAUAAGACCCCAUGUGAGUAUGUUAGAUGAUAAGGCUCAGGUUGGAUGGGUGUGUAGAGUAAAGGCUUUGCAUCACCUUUGCCAGGGUGAGGGAAGGCUAUGGAUAGCACAGGGGACCUUGAUGAUCGGGUGAGGGAGCCCAUGUGGACAUAGUGGUCACCAGCUACUUCCUAGUUCUCUACAUGGGAGAAAGAGCCCUUCUCUGUAAUCAUGGAAGCUCAAGUUCUUGGUGGUUCAGAGGUUAGAGACCUCUGAUUACUAGGACAGAGCAGAAUAGCAGGGCUGGUCCUGGUAGAUCAGACAUCUCAUGACAUCCUUUAAAAGGGACUAGAAUAUUCAGAACUCCGGUGUAACUAAAUGAUCCUCAAGCUUUACCAGCAGGUGAGCAAGGUCCCAUUGUAUUUGGUACUCACAUCCCCACCAAUUCUGUAAAAGUUUGCCAACUUUCCCCUCCAUCCCCUGCACCCUUUCACCAAAAGAUAUGCCUAAGAGUUCCCAAGAGACGUCUAACAUAGGCCUGCAUGUCAGCCCAGUCUUCUGGGCUGAGCUGCUGCACUGUUGCUGGCCUUGAUGGCUGAACCUGAUCUCUGUUGUGGCACCCACCACUCUUUCUCAAGCCUUGACACCUUGGCAGGCUUUGGCAAAAAGAGGAGAGCUGUUCUUCCUCGGCAUUAUGUUCACUUAGCAGGGUCCCACAGCAGGAUUGCUUGGACCCCAGAGUAUUGUAGGGCUUAAUAAGACCAGCCCUUUCAUCUCACACGCUCUAUCCUUUCUCUCACUGGUGCACCCACGUCAGGUGUCUUGAGUGGGGAGUGCUCGAAUAUCUGCCACCAGCUUGAGUCAGAACCUCGACUUCCCUCAGCUUUUCAGGGUCUGUUACUGAGUCUGGUCCACACUCCAGGGUCUUUUCCUCACGGUCUGGGUCUGGUCUUUUUCAGGUGCCUACCUUUCCUCCCUGCAAACUGCCUUGAGUUGCCUCCCCUUCUCCCUUCCUUCCUGGUCUGUCAGAGACAUCUUGUCUGGGUGCAUAUUUGAACCCCAUCAGUAGACAGAAAACAUGUAUUUCCUUGAAGGCCCCUCAGACCCCAGGUACAAACAUUGAAGUAAAUAACAGCAGGGAUGGGGGUUCUGCCUCGCUUCACCUGCCAGCCACGUGCAGACCUUGUUUCAGUCCAACUGAGACUUUAGCAAGUGCUUCAUUCUGGUUUGUGAAUGGCUUCCCAGUGUCUGUCACUGUGUUCACAGGGCCACCGGGGUUGGCUGAGUCAGAAUACCAGCCAUGUGGCAUGUCGCAUGGGGCAAGAGCUGUGCUGCCCAUGGGAGUCCAGAGAAGGAGCACACUAAGGACCAACACCAGGAUACAGAGAGAAGACAG